UAUAGUUAUUAAGGUACCAAGGGUAUUAUAAGGAUAAUAACGCUUGAGGUCAAUGGUGUAUAGACCAAGGGCCUUCGGCUCGAGGUAUAUACAUGGACCGAAAGCGUUAUUAUCUAUAAUACCCGUGGUGCCUUCAACGUUGAAUGUCCGACUAAAUUCUUCUUUGUAUGCAAAAAAUUUGAAUUUUGAAUUAAUUAGUUUUCAAAUAAGUACAUUUAGCAGCAAUAGUCAUAACGUAAUUGUGGUAACCAUAGUUUUACUUAGGUUUUUAUUUGUCAACUUGACAGUAUUCAACUAGUUAUUUUUCAAAAUAACGCCCUAAGGCAUUAUAUCAUAUUUAACUGACUUCGAAAUCAUGUCAUUAUUUGUCAAAUAAUAUACCAAUUUUACAAAGUUUAAGGCAGAUGUCGAGCACUGAAUUUAUUUAAUCUUGCCCAAGUAUACUUUCGCUAUCUAGAACAUCUUCAGGGGCAUUUCGUCAAUAAAAUGAAGGUAUCCUCGAAUGUCAUUUAUUUUGAAAAAUAGGUUUGUGGCAACUUAAAUUAAUAUAUAACUACGAAUACACUUAACAUAGGACAAACAAAUAAAAUUUGAGUGCCGGGUAUCUCUAAAGUUCUACAUUGUUAAAAGAUGGCAGUAGAAUGUCAUUCUACUUCCAUCUUUCAACAUGUAUUCUUGUGACGUAAAGUCAAAAAUUGAAGUCUCCUCACCACCGUCGAUCUGGGCAACCGUAGUAUGUCUAAGAACCGUGGUCUGGCCCAACCGCCGCACUGUGGUUCCAAAUGCCGAAAACGUGGUCAUGAACCUUUAAAAGCAUAUAUUGUUUAUACACUUCGGAAUUACUUUCGUUCUUAAGAGUUUUUGGCAUCGCUGAUUACGAAUCUGACAUUAUUUUUUCUGAAAAAACAAAAUGGUGAAACCAACAUGGCGGAACGAAAUUGAAAAUAUCAAUCAAAACGCAAAUUUUUUAUCAAAUUUGGUGGUUUAAAGUCGCUGAGUACAAAUCUAACAUUACUUUUUUUUUAAAUGGCAGAUCCAAUAUGUUCGAAAGAAAUUCGAAAAUUUUAUUUUAAACGCAUAUUUGUUUAAAAUUUUAUAUUAUAAGGGAUUUUUGAAAUUGCUAAUGACUAAUACAUUUUCUUUAUGAAGUACAAUAUUCAGAACCUAUUACUUAUGUACAACCGCCCAUACCUACUCAACAAUCUCCAGAAUCAUGUAAUAUGCGUCAUUUCCCACUUUUGUAUUCAAACAACUGCCAGCAAUGCAUAGGCAGCUAAACCAAAGUGAUUAUGUAUCUUCUUAGUAUACAUUUUAAGAUUAAUAAACAUUAGUCGCAGAAUUUUGUACUUUUUGAAUGUACCUUUACAAAAUUUUGAUUAGUUCAAGUAUAUUUUCACUAUUUAUGCAUUAACAAAUUUAAGACAUUUAUUGUUACUAAAUCUUAAGUUAACUUACAGUUAACUACGAGAAGAAUCUGCUUUACCGCUAUAAAAUUGAUAAACUACAAAACGUUUUACAGGGUUUUCAAUAAAGGCAUUCUUUUUCAAUUUCUCUGCCGGCCAAAAUAACCUCGGACAUGGCUCACUUGUUCCUGAGCUAUGAACCAAAAUACAUCCAAUCUGAUCCUUAUACCUGCGUAUUACGACUCUACGAUAGUAUGAGAAAACAACUGUAAACAUGAAAAUCCCUAGAUAGGGACUUUUUUCGCUUCAUGACCACGUUUUCAGCAUUUGGAACAACUGUGCGCCGCAGACUAUUAUUUUAUUAUUAGUAGGGAAUUAUUACAUCUAAUAUUGACUGAGUUUGCACUCCUGCUCGGAUUGUUUUAGUGCCGUAGUAGAUACAAUGACGUCAAAUAUAAUGAUUCAAAACUCGGCUAUGCUUGAUAUAUUAUUGGGUGUCAUAAGGAU
rnacentral:lncRNA from 1 species